rnacentral:rRNA from 1 species
GGAUUAGGCAUGCAAGUCGAGCGAGAACCCGCAAGGGGGACAGCGGCGAACGGGGUAGGACAACGUAGGUAACGUACCCUCGGGGCGAGGACAGCCACGGGAAACUGUGGGUAAUACUCGAUAAACUUCCCAAUCAUUAUGGAAGGGGAAGCAAUGGGUGUGAUUCCACCUGAGGAGCGGCUUACGCAGUAUCAGCUUGUUGGUGAGGUAACGGCUCACCAAGGCGAUGACGCUUAGGGGAUGUGAGAGCAUGAUCCCCACCACUGGCACUGAGACACUGGCCAGACACCUACGGGUGGCUGCAGUCGAGAAUCUUCGGCAAUGGGCGAAAGCCUGACCGAGCGACGCCGCGUGCGGGAUGAAGGCCUUCGGGUUAUAAACCGCUGUCGGAGGGGAUGAAAUGCCGAUGGGUACUCCCAACGGCUUGACUGAUCCUCGGAGGAAGGGUGGGCUAAGUUCGUGCCAGCAGCCGCGGUAAUA